UACGAAGGGGGGCUAGCGUUGCUCGGAAUCACUGGGCGUAAAGCGCACGUAGGCGGAUCUUUUAAGUCAGGGGUGAAAUCCUGGAGCUCAACUCCAGAACUGCCUUUGAUACUGGGGAUCUCGAGUCCGGGAGAGGUGAGUGGAACUGCGAGUGUAGAGGUGAAAUUCGUAGAUAUUCGCAAGAACACCAGUGGCGAAGGCGGCUCACUGGCCCGGUACUGACGCUGAGGUGCGAAAGCGUGGGGAGCAAACAGG
rnacentral:rRNA from 1 species